rnacentral:rRNA from 1 species
UACGGGGGGGGCAAGCGUUGUUCGGAAUUACUGGGCGUAAAGGGCCAGUAGGCGGCCAACUAAGUCCGACGUGAAAUCCCAAGGCUUAACCUUGGAACUGCGUCGGAUACUGGAUGGCUUGAAUUCGGGAGAGGGAUGCAGAAUUCCAGGUGUAGCGGUGAAAUGCGUAGAUAUCUGGAGGAAUACCGGUGGCGAAGGCGGCAUCCUGGACCGAGAUUGACGCUGAAUGGCGAAAGCUAGGGGAGCAAACGGG